AACGAACGCUGGCGGCAUGCCUAACACAUGCAAGUCGAACGAAACCUUCGGGUCUAGUGGCGCACGGGUGCGUAACGCGUGGGAACCUGCCCUUAGGUUCGGAAUAACUCCCCGAAAGGGGUGCUAAUACCGGAUAAUGUCUUCGGACCAAAGAUUUAUCGCCGUUGGAUGGUCCCGCGUUGGAUUAGCUAGUUGGUAGGGUAAAAGCCUACCAAGGCGACGAUUCAUAGCUGGUCUGAGAGGAUGAUCAGCCACACUGGGACUGAGACACGGCCCAGACUCCUACGGGAGGCAGCAGUGGGGAAUAUUGGAAAAUGGGGGAAGGCAUGAUCCAGCUAUGCCGCGUGAGUGAUGAAGGCAGUAAGGUUGUAAAGCUCUUUUACCCGGGAUGAUAAUGACAGUACCGGGAGAAUAAGCUACGGCUAACUCCGUG
rnacentral:rRNA from 1 species